CUCAGAAACUCAAAGGAAUUGACGGGGCCCGCACAAGCGGAGGAGCAUGUGGUUAAUUCGAUGAUACGCGAGGAACCUUACCUGGGCUCGAACGUAAGAUGACUGUAGGUGAAAGCUUACAUCUCUUCGGAGCAUUUUACGAGGUGCUGCAUGGUUGUCGUCAGCUCGUGCCGUGAGGUGUCGGGUUAAGUCCCAUAACGAGCGCAACCCCUACCUUUAGUUGCCAUCAGGUAAUGCUGGGGACUCUAAAGGAACUGCCUACGCAAGUAGUGAGGAAGCGGGGAUGACGUCAAAUCAGCACGGCCCUUACGUCCAGGGCUACACACGUGCUACAAUGGCCGAUACAGAGGGCAGCUACCUGGUGACAGGAUGCAAAUCUCCAAAGUCGGUCUCAGUUCGGAUCGGAGUCUGCAACCCGACUCCGUGAAGUUGGAUUCGCUAGUAAUCGCGCAUCAGCCAUGGCGCGGUGAAUACGUUCCCGGGCCUU
rnacentral:rRNA from 1 species